AUCUGAAGCCAGGCUGUGCUAUUGUCCGGCACACAAAUGUUCUACAAGGACCCAGACCACCAUGCAGUUCUCUGUGCACAGACUAUGAAGUGAGCACAUACGGUGCACCUAGAAGUCUUCCCAGGAAUGAGGGGAUUCCCAGGACACCAGACUUUCUGCUAAAACCAGAAAAACCUCAGGCCCACUGCAGUGAAUCUACUUGCGGUGGACAUUGUGCCUACAAAGACAAGACACGGUGCCUACCCUCAAGACGUCACAGCCUGGGAGAGAAGACAGACAAUAUAGAGUUCUGAGUGCUUUGACAGAGGAGAACUCAGUUGCUCUGGCAACUUGCACACUUGUAAGGCCUCAGUUCAGCAAGGGCAACGAGGGAAGGCUUCCUGGCAGAGAAGGAUAUCUGCUUUAAUUCUGAAAGAUCACUAAAGAUGCCUGCCUUGUGGCCCCAACCCAAAUGGGGUCUCCGCAGAGAUUUCCUUAAUCGCAGGACACCGGGCACCCACAUGUCUGACUCUUUCCCACUGUGCCCUCCCCAGCAGAGAACCACAUCACUAUCUGGCCUCAGAUUCUACUGGCUCCCAAAUUCUUCUAAUUGUAUUGCUUUGUUUGAUUCGGAAGCACUGGAAGAAGGGGGUAAUAACAUUCCGGCAAAAGGAGGCUGUUGAUCACAUCUGUAAUUCUUUCCGGCAUAAAGAGAACUAGGGGACAUCUACAAGAAUGUAUAUUCAUCUAAAUUCGUGGGACAGAGGAGUCAGGCAGAAAGGCUUUUCAAAGGCGUGCUGCAUCUUGCUCGGGUUUGCAAAGCAGUGGCAGAAAAGUAUCAGAAAAGUGCUCAAAGGUCCGCAUCUGCUCCAAUCCGGGAUGGGAAGCCAUCAUGAGGAUGUUGCCUUUCUUCCCUGCAUUUAAAAGGCUUUAUCUGGUUUAAAAAAUGA